rnacentral:rRNA from 1 species
GAUGAACGCUGGCGGCGUGCCUAAUACAUGCAAGUCGAACGAACGGACGCGACGCUUGCUUCUCUGAUGUUAGCGGCGGACGGGUGAGUAACACGUGGAUAACCUACCUUUAAGACUGGGAUAACUUCGGGAAACCGGAGCUAAUACCGGAUAAUAUCUUGAACCGCAUGGUUCAAAAGUGAAAGACGGUCUUGCUGUCACUUAUAGAUGGAUCCGCGCUGCAUUAGCUAGUUGGUAAGGUAACGGCUUACCAAGGCAACGAUGCAUAGCCGACCUGAGAGGGUGAUCGGCCACACUGGAACUGAGACACGGUCCAGACUCCUACGGGAGGCAGCAGUAGGGAAUCUUCCGCAAUGGGCGAAAGCCUGACGGAGCAACGCCGCGUGAGUGAUGAAGGUCUUCGGAUCGUAAAACUCUGUUAUUAGGGAAGAACAUAUGUGUAAGUAACUGUGCACAUCUUGACGGUACCUAAUCAGAAAGCCACGGCUAACUACGUG